rnacentral:rRNA from 1 species
AUUGAACGCUGGCGGCAGGCCUAACACAUGCAAGUCGAGCGGGGUUUUCGGACCUAGCGGCGGACGGGUGAGUAAUGCGUAGGAAGCUGCCCGAUAGAGGGGGAUACCAGUUGGAAACGACUGUUAAUACCGCAUAAUGUCUACGGACCAAAGUGUGGGACCUUCGGGCCACAUGCUAUCGGAUGCGCCUACGUGGGAUUAGCUAGUUGGUGAGGUAAUGGCUCACCAAGGCGACGAUCUCUAGCUGGUUUGAGAGGAUGAUCAGCCACACUGGAACUGGGACACGGUCCAGACUCCUACGGGAGGCAGCAGUGGGGAAUAUUGGACAAUGGGCGCAAGCCUGAUCCAGCCAUGCCGCGUGUGUGAAGAAGGCCUUCGGGUUGUAAAGCACUUUCAGCGAGGAGGAAGGGUGGUGUGUUAAUAGCACAUCAUUUUGACGUUACUCGCAGAAGAAGCACCGGCUAACUCUGUGCCAGCAGCCGCCGUAA